ensembl:snRNA U2 U2 spliceosomal RNA
AUCGCUUCUCGGCCUUUUGGCUAAGAUCAAGUGUAGAAUAAAAAAUUAUAUAUCCUGCACAUUAUUUUAUCACUAAAUAUAU